CCAGCAUGGAGAUGAUUUUUCUCUCCACCAAUUGGAUCUCUUCUUUUCUGGGAAAGACCAGAGAAUUGUGCCGACCCUGCUGGGUUUUGUCUUCAGCCCUCGUUUCUGCGGCGGAGAGCAGUACAGCUUCAUAAGGCGGCUUUUCAGCAGAGAAGCCUGCGGUGUUGAACCAGUGCCACGGGGGGCGGGGGAGGGGGGGAGAUUCUUCAAUAGAGCUCGUCUUCUUUCUCAAAAUUAAAGUGGUGACUUGCAGAAAAGCAUAUGUGUAUAAACGACACGUCCAUGUUCUGACAUUCUGUUCCUUUAGGGCUUUUAGUUCCUGUGCUUCUAUAGAGACUGAAGUUGGUUUUUUUUUUUUUUUUUUUUUGGUUUGUUGGUUUGUUUGUUGUGGGGAACGUCGCCCUGUCCAUACAGCUCAGAACUGUCUAGCUAGGUCGCACACAUGCCACGUGGGUUGUCAGCCAUAGUGUCAGCUGAAUUGUAACAGUAAGAGCUUUAUUCCUGAUGAUGCUAUUACCAAGAAUGACUUGUCUCUUAGAGCAAAGAAUUUAGUUUUGCGAAGAUGGCAACUAGAUGGCUGAUAGCCAGAGCAAGUACCUGUGGAAAAUUUAAUAUUGCUGGAUGAUAAACAUGAGCUCCCUGCAGUGUUAUUUUUGUAAUAAAAAUAUGUAGCCUACCUGAAAUGCCUACCCUAUGAUGCAGGACACAGAGAAGGCUCUAAGUCGGUGUUAAUUAUUACUGUUUUUCUGACUCAUUAAAAACCCCUGUUUGUGGAGUUCCCGUCGUGGCGCAGUGGUUAACGAAUCCGACUAGGAACCAUGAGGUUGCAGGUUCGGUCCCUGCCCUUGCUCAGUGGGUUAAGGAUCCGGCGUUGCCGUGAGCUGUGGUGUAGGUUGCAGCCUCGGCUCGGAUCCCGAGUUGCUGUGGCUCUGGCGUAGGCCGGUGGCUACAGCUCCGAUUCGACCCCUAGCCUGGGAACCUCCAUAUGCCGCGGGAGGGGCCCAAGAAAUAGCAACAACAACAACAACAAAGACAAAAAGACAAAAAAUAAAUAAAUAAAUAAAAACCCCUGUUUGUGUUACACGUGAGUGGUGUAGGGAGUAUACAGUUUGUAACAGCUCUCAGCCAACGUUCGUUUAUUGACAAAGGUUUAAAAGCCAUAGGCUCCCGAUGAUUCUUCAAUCAUGAAGAGCCUUGGAACCGGUAUAUAUUUAGGCCAUGAACAUUUUCAAGCCAACAAAUUCUUCUGCUAAUUGUUGUUGUUCAAGCCCCCAGGAAAAUGUGCUGAGAUGUGUGUUAGUUUUGACACCACAUGAGAAGAAUAAUAAGUAGGCAUGCCAUCCAUCUUCUAUCCUCAGUGCACCGUGAGUGCUGCUACAUUUCGGGAAUCAUAUGCUCUGGGACCAGAAAAUGUCAGGGAAGUUAUCAGAAGCUCAACCAUCUGAGAAGGAAAAAGUGAAACAAAUGUAUCAACUGUGUGUAACUGUGCCAACUACAUUUAGUGACCUGUAGGCCAUUUUCUAGCCACCGAUAGAUUUCAUGUUUCAGUAUAUUAACCCAAUUUUUAAAUACUCCAUCUUGUAACUGUGAAAAGCAUCGUAUAAACCCUUCUACUAGAUAUAUCAAUUUAGAGGAUGGUGUUUAAGCAAAAAUUAAAGUAAAGAGGUAUAAUAAUGGUUCAAAAAGGAGAAUUUCUAGAAGAGACUAUCUUCCUGAGUAGCCUAAGCAAGUGUAAAUGAAUUUAGUUAGUUAAUCUAGACAGUUGAAUAACCAAACUCUUCCUUUGCCCAACCCAUAGCUAGAAAGGUCAGGGUGGUUAAUUGUGUUUUUAAAAGAAAGAGGAUUAAGUUUCAAGAAUAAGGAGAGUCUGUGCUACUUUACUGCAUAAAUGGAGAACUGUGUCUUUAAAUUCCUCUUUAUUCUAUUCCAGAAUUCCUGAUGUUUAGUUCAGUUUGGGGUUACCUAAAUAGAAUUCUCUGGAAACAAGAUUUCAGAGAAAGUAGAGAUAGAAAAAGCCCUUAAAAACAGGAAUUUAAUCUUACUUGUUUAAAAAAGAUAUAUUACUAACUCAGAAAUACUUCUAUGGUAAAACGUGUUCUCUAGCUGUUUAUAACCUAAAAUAAUGCUGGGAGGGAAAAAAGCCAGAUCUUAAACAGAUAAGAUAUUUACACUGAAUACAAAGAAACUAGCCCAUGGAAAUUCCCAUUGUGGCUCGGGGGUUGCAAACCCAACUAGUAUCCACGAAGAUGCGAUGCGGUUAGGUCCCUGGCCUCCGUCAGUGAGUUAAGGAUCCAGUGUUGCCACAAGCUUCAGUGUAGGUCACAUAUGUGGCUCGCAUCCCACAUGGCUGGGGCUGUGGUGUAGGCCGGCAGCUGCAGCUCUGAUUUGACCCCUGCCUGGGAACUUCCAUAUGCCGUAGGUACGGCCCUGAAGGGAAAAAAAGAAAAGAAAAGAGCCUGUGUGUGUGUAUCAGACGGUGUCUGAGUUCUGUGUUUGUGUCUGCGUGUGUGUCUCUGUGGAUCUGUGCUUGUAUGAGUUCGUGUGUGUGUGUCGUGUGUUAAAGGACGCAUGUGUCAGAUGGGGUCUCUGUUGUGCAUGUGUGUGUGUGAAGUCUUAGGGGGAGAAUUAUACCCACGGACACAGGUCACUUCCCUUUUAAUGUGUGGAAAAACCUCUUGAUGUUCCCUUGUUUUGGUGGAAGGCCCCUGGUGGCCGGGACGCGUUGGUUUCAGAUUCUGUCCGUCUCCCAGCACUGAGCACAGAGCGUGGGACACGGUGGUGUCUGACGAACCACCCCUCUGGGUCACAGCACCAUGGCUGAUGGCCUGAUCCCCGGGCUAAGUCCUCGUAAGGGCAGGUCCCGGCCGGGAGGGGGCUUUCCCUUCUCUCUUGAUGAGAAUCCCAAACCCAGCACCAGUGCUGGGGCCAGGGAAGGGCCUUGUUCCUAGAACAGAAGUGGAACUCCUGGGCAGCCCCCGGAGGACUGGAUCCACUGGCUGCCAGGGGUUCAACAAAAGCAAAACAAAUGCAGGAGACAUUAUAGACACCAGGUUCUGAGGUGAACUAAAUGUUGCAAGCCUGGCUCCCGCUCCAAUUUUUACAGGUCUCAGAAAAUAGCAGGUAUCAGGGGAAAACCUCUCAGGAACGUAAUAGGCCUAAGAGGACAAGCAGUACAGAUGUAUCAGCUUUUUCUUCUUUUUCUUUUUUUGUUUUUUUCCUGCAGCACAUGGAAGUUCUCAGGCUAGGGCUCACAUCAGAGCUACACGACGGUCACAGCAACACCAGAUCCUUAACCCACUGUGCGAAGCCGGAGAUUGAACCUGAAUCCUCAUGGAUACUAACUGGGCUCGUUACCAAGCCACAACGGGAACUCCCUAUGAGCUAUUGUUCUCUGUGUUCUAUGCCCUUUUCUGCUAGAAAAUGGGUACACACACACACACAUAAUACGUAUAAUACGUUGUAUUUUAUAUAACUGUAAAAAGUUUUAUACAAGUAUAGUACAUAAUAUAUGCUGAGAUUAGAAUAGAUAUGAUUUUGCUGGGAAAGUGCAUUACAUUUUUGAAGGCAAACUCCCAUUAAAUGGUAUUUAAGCAAAUGCAAGCACACCAACUGAAGGGAACAGGUACUAUUGAAUGCUUUACCAGCACUAAACAUAAGAGAAACCAGAGAAGCAACUGCGAAGAGGCGUCUUAUCCGAGGGAAGCCCAGAACUGGGGUGUCCAGGACGUCCCCCUGACUGAAUCUCGUCUCUGUCCACCAGCAUCUCCAAAAUCAGAAAUGCCCAGUUGCAGGCGUUUGCUUUGGGAAACGCGGUGCAACUUAAACUUUCAAAAGUGCUGUUGACGUUUGCAAUAAUUCCAUGCAAAGUGACCAACGUGGGUGAGGCUUCUGUUGCCGUGGUGCGAUAAGGCUGUGCUCUCAAGCUCCUGCCUCACACACACGCCUGCUCUGAGUGUACACGAGUGAGGACGAAAGAGAAAAGGAGAAAGUGUGAGUUUAGAGGACACUUGACCCUCGACAUGAACCUCACUGAGGAUGGGUGUGUGGACCGUAGGGGCAGGUCAAAGCAGAAGAGCGACCUGCUCCCUGGGACUGGACGGACAUGGAGAGAAAGGAACAGAAUCCAAGAAAGGACCGGAAGGUGGGCCCCUGGUUUGGGAAGAGCAGACGCUCACUUGUAGCCAUCGCGCACUCCUUUCUCUUCUUUUGUUUUAAUUUAUGUCGCUGAAGUACAGCGGUCAAUUUCCGCUGCGCAGUGACGCGGUUGCACACACAGACCCUCCUUCCCGGUCUGCUCCAUCCCCACUAAGCCCAGGGCACGGGCUGUAGUUCCCUGGGCUCGGCAGCAGGACCUUGUUUACCCUCCUGUAUAGAAUCGUUUGCAAGUGCUAAUCCCACACUUCCAGUCCAUCCCUUUCCCGCCUGUCUUUAUACUCUAAAUGCCAUAUAUUUUUUGGAGGGGGGGCCACACCCAAGCCACAUGGAAAUUCCCCGGCCCAGGGACCGAAUCCAAGCUGCAGCUACGACCCAAGCCACAGCUUCGACAACAGUGGAUCCUUAACGCGCUGUGCCACAGCAGGAGCGCCUAAGUGCCCUAUUUCUAUCAAACUUUCCUCGUUUCGGCGCACCCAUGAGAGUACUCUUCCGCAACGCCGCUGCGAUGCAGGGAAGAAACACCUCACAGGGAACCCGGGUGAUGAGCGCUUCGGGGUGGAAUAGAUCCAUGAUUCCCAAAGUCUGCGGUCAUCGGAAUUUCCUGGGGAGCUUUUUCUUUGUGCAACUUCCUUCUUUUAGAACCAUUUCGAUGGUAGGCACAGGCAGAAGAAGCCCCCUCCUCGCACCACCCACUCCAAGUUCCCAGGAGCCUGCUUCACGUACCCUCUAGCCUCCGCCCUCAGCCCUGGAUUAUUUUAAAACAAAAGUCAGACGUGAUACUGUUUCGUCGGCGUUUCUUCAGAAGAUAAGGACUCUUGGAAACACGGGUUUUCCUAACACCGUGAUCCCCUUGAACAAAAAGUCCUUCAAGUCAUGCUCUGCAGCUCAGGGCUCCUGUUUCAGAGGACUUUUUAAACGUACGAGUUUCCUCAACCCAACCCCAGACACCGGAACAGAACCAGGGUGAGCCCAGGAGUCUCCCCCAGUGAUUCUGGGGGUCAGGUCUGACCAUCACUGGCGUAAGUCCUUUCCGACCUUGAGACUGACUUCCAGCGUCACACGUCUGAAGUCACGCCUCUUCCUUCUCCGAAGUGAAACUGGUUCCCUUGUCUCACUGAACGCGUGGGGAAAUCAGUCUUAGGUCUGGGCGCAGAGGUGGCAGGACAGGAAAGCAGCUCAGGGAAAGAGGCCAAUUCCCAAGUGUGAGAUCCAGCCCUUACCGCGUUGCAGGACGGUGAACGGGGCCCUCGUAGUUCUCUGAGACGCAGUUCCCUCCAGUGACAAAUAAACUUCUUGGUGGC
rnacentral:lncRNA from 1 species